rnacentral:RNase_P_RNA from 1 species
UGAGCUAACUAGAUAAUCGCUCUUUUUAAGAGAGGAAAGUCCGGGCUCCAUUGGACAAGAUGCCAGGUAACACCUGGGAGGCGCGAGUCUACGGAAAGUGCAGCAGAAAAUAAACCGCCUAUUAAUUAGGUAAGGGUGAAAAGGUGCGGUAAAAGCGCACCGCGUAAUUGGUAACAUUUUACGGCAUUGCAAACCCCGUCUGGAGCAAGACCAAAUAGAGGUUCUUUAGUCAGUCCUGGCUGAACCUGGGUAGGUUGCUUGAGUUUUAUGGUGACGUAAAACCUAGAUGAAUGAUUAUCCUAGACAGAACCCGGCUUACCGGUUAGCUCACUCC